CCUACGGGAGGCAGCAGUAGGGAAUCUUCGGCAAUGGCCGAAAGUCUGACCGAGCAACGCCGCGUGAGUGAAGAAGGUUUUCGGAUCGUAAAACUCUGUUGGUAGAGAAGAACGUUGGUGAGAGUGGACAGCUCAUCAAGUGACGGUAACUACACCGCAGGGGAGGGCUAACUACGUGCCAGCAGCCGCGGUAAUACGUAGGUCCCGAGCGUUGUCCGGAUUUAUGGGGCGAAAAGCGAGCGCGGGGGGAUUGUUAAGUCUGGUGUAAAGGGCAGUGGCUCAAGCAUUGGAUGCAUUGGAUACUGGUAGACUGGAGUGCAGGAGAGGAGAGUGGAAUGCCAGGGGUAGCGGUGAAAUGCGUAGAUAUAUGGAAGAACACCGGUGGCGAAGGCGGCUCUCGGGCCUGUAACUGACGCUGAGGCUCGAAAGCGUGGGGAGCAAACAGGAUUAGAUACCCCUGUAGUC
rnacentral:rRNA from 1 species